AGCAGCCGCGGUAAUUCCAGCUCCAAUAGCGUAUAUUAAAGUUGUUGCAGUUAAAAAGCUCGUAGUUGAAUUUCGGGGUUAGUAGGUUGGUCAUGCCUCUGGUAUGUACUGGUCUCACUGAUUCCUCCCUUCUGAAGAACCAUCAUGCCAUUAAUUUGGUGUGGUGGGGAAUCAGGACUGUUACUUUGAAAAAAUUGAGUGUUUAAAGCAGGCUCGCGCUUGAAUACAUUAGCAUGGAAUAAUGAAAUAGGGCGUUUAUCCUAUUUUGUUGGUUCUAGGAUUGACGUAAUGAUUAAUAGGGAUAGUUGGGGCAUUAGUAUUCAAUUGUCAGAGGUGAAAUUCUUGGAUUUAUGAAGACUAACUACUGCGAAAGCAUUUGCCAAGGAUGUUUCAUUAAUCAAGAACGAAGUUAGGGAUACGAAGACGA
rnacentral:rRNA from 1 species